rnacentral:rRNA from 1 species
AUUGAACGCUGGCGGCAUGCCUUACACAUGCAAGUCGAACGAUGAACCUUCCAUGAUCUAUUCGUAGAGAUUGGAAGCGGAUUAGUGGCGAACGGGUGAGUAACGCGUGAGCAACCUGCCUUAAACAACGGGAUAGCCUCGGGAAACCGGGAUUAAUACCGUAUGAGACCCCGCCUUCCCAUGAAGAAGAGGUUAAAGAUUUAUCGGUUUAAGAUGGGCUCGCGUCUGAUUAGCUAGUUGGUGAGAUAAAAGCCCACCAAGGCAACGAUCAGUAACCGGCUUGAGAGAGUGAACGGUCACAUUGGAACUGAGACACGGUCCAAACUCCUACGGGAGGCAGCAGUGGGGAAUAUUGCACAAUGGGGGAAACCCUGAUGCAGCGACGCCGCGUGAGCGAUGAAGGAAUUCGUUUCGUAAAGCUCUGUCCAAGGGGAAGAUAAUGACAGUACCCUUGGAGGAAGCCCCGGCUAAAUACGUGCCAGCCGCCGCCGUAACAC